UGUUUGUGGAUGUGUGGAUGUCUGUUUGUGGAUGUGUGGAUGUCUGUUUGUGGAUGUCUGUGGAUGUGUGGAUGUCUGUGGAUGUGUGGAUGUCUGUGGAUGUGUGGAUGUCUGUUUGUGGAUGUCUAUUUGUGGAUGUCUGUUUGUGUAUGUGUGGAUGUCUGUGUAUGUGUGGAUGUCUGUGUAUGUGUGGAUGUCUGUUUGUGGAUGUGUGGAUGUCUGUUUGUGGAUGUCUGUGUAUGUGUGGAUGUCUGUGUAUGUGUGGAUGUCUGUUUGUGGAUGUGUGGAUGUCUGUGGAUGUGUGCAGGACUCGAGUCCUGCAGGAACGCGUGGGAACGGCGUUCCUGCACUUUUUUCACAGCAGGAACGCCGUUCCCCCUGCAGGCACUCAGGGGGCGGCAAAAAAUGCCGCCCCCAAAUGCCCCCCCUUGUUUCCCCUGUCAUGGGGGGGCAACCUGAUGGAUUGCCCCCCGGUGAACGGCUCUCUUCCUGUCACACGCGGAGAGGGAGCUGUGUGCUCUCUGCUCCCUCUCGCCGCGCGGGAUGUCUGCUGUUGCUGGGAGCCGGGUUGAUGACGUCAUAUUCCGGCUCCCAGCAUCAGCAGACAUCCCGCGCGGCGAGAGGGAGCAUAGAGCACACAGCUCCCUCUCCACGUGUGACAGGGAGAGAGCCGCCCUCACUGCAGCCCCACUGGACCCCAGGGAAAGGUAGGGAUGCUGGGUGGGUGGGAAAUGUUAAUUUUUUUAUAUUAUUAUUAAUUUGUAUAUAUGUAUGUCUGUUUGUGGAUGUGUGGAUGUGGAUGUCUGUGUGGAUGUCUGUUUGUGGAUGUGUGGAUGUCUGUUUGUGGGUUUGUGGAUGUGUGGAUGUCUGUUUGUGGAUGUGUGGAUGUGGAUGUCUGUGUGGAUGUCUGUUUGUGGAUGUGUGGAUGUCUGUUUGUGGAUGUCUGUAGAUGUGUGGAUGUCUGUUUGUGGAUGUGUGGAUGUCUGUUU